rnacentral:rRNA from 1 species
GAUGAACGCUGGCGGCGUGCCUAAUACAUGCAAGUCGAGCGAACGGACGAGAAGCUUGCUUCUCUGAUGUUAGCGGCGGACGGGAGAGUAACACGUGGAUAACCUACCUAUAAUACGGGUAUAACUUCGGGAAACCGGAGCUAAUACCGGAGAAUAUUUUGAACCGCAUGGUUCAAAAGUGAAAGACGGCCUUUCGGUAAGUACUAGAUGGAUCCGCGCUGCAUUGGCUAGUUGUUAAGGUAACGGCUUACCAAGGCAACGAUGCAUAGCAGACCUGAGAGGGUGAUCAGCCACACUGGAACUGAGACACGGUCCAGACUCCUACGGGAGGCAGCAGUAGGGAAUCUUCCGCCAUGGGCGAAAGCCUGACGGAGCAACGCCGCGUGAGUGAUGAAGGUCUUCGGAUCGUAAAACUCUGUUAUUAGGGAAGAACAUAUGUGUAAGUAACUGUGCACAUCUUGACGGUACCUAAUCAGAAAGCCACGGCUAACUACGUG